UGGUGCGGCUCGCCUUUAAAUACCCGGGAUCGAGAGUCUUCCAUCCCAGUUAGUUCGAGGCACAAUGGGGGGAACGAGAGCAGGAACGCCUCCUCUCCCUUCUCUCUUUCUCCUCUCCAAUGCCGAUGAUUUGUUUUUCCUGAUCUACCUCGCAUUUCUACUUCUUUGUUUUCACUUUUCUCUCUUGCCUUCGAUCUAAGAGGCGGCGAUGAUGCGACAUGAAGCUUACUGACGGAUUAGAUCGUCUGUCAUUUUGGCGCGCUUGGAUCGAUCAUGGUGACGGCGAAUCGCAGAUUAUCAAUGCAUAUUAUUCCUUUGGAAGAUGUAUUUGAGGAUAGUAUUUACAGAUGUGGAGCUCAUCUGAAGGUAAGUUUCGGAGGAGCAUAUCGUAUACUUCCCGAGUCACUGAUAUCACGAUUCUUGGGGGCGUGCAUUCUAUCUUGUUGGCGGAGAUUGCAAUGUAUAUAUUGCAGUAAUUAAUCCUGAAUGAAACCCUAGUUAGAAAUAAUGAUGUUCGUCAUUAAUACCUUAAAUGAUCUCAGGUCACAAUGUUAUUAGUUUCUUGGUUUUGAUUAGCAUUCAUUUUUUUUUACAUUCAUGUACCUGUAAUUUUGAGUGACGUGAUCUGGAAAAUUCUUAGUAGAGAUUAUACUCAUACCCUUAGCAGGUGUAUCUGAAUGUAGUUACAUCUUAUUUUCUUCAUAACCUUAUUCCCAUGUCUUGA